rnacentral:rRNA from 1 species
GAUGAACGCUGGCGGCGUGCUUAACACAUGCAAGUCGAACGGGAAAUAUUUCAUUGAGACUUCGGUGGAUUUGAUUUAUUUCUAGUGGCGGACGGGUGAGUAACGCGUGGGUAACCUGCCUUAUACAGGGGGAUAACAGUCAGAAAUGGCUGCUAAUACCGCAUAAGCGCACAGAGCUGCAUGGCUCAGUGUGAAAAACUCCGGUGGUAUAAGAUGGACCCGCGUUGGAUUAGCUAGUUGGUGGGGUAACGGCCCACCAAGGCGACGAUCCAUAGCCGGCCUGAGAGGGUGAACGGCCACAUUGGGACUGAGACACGGCCCAGACUCCUACGGGAGGCAGCAGUGGGGAAUAUUGCACAAUGGGGGAAACCCUGAUGCAGCGACGCCGCGUGAAGGAAGAAGUAUCUCGGUAUGUAAACUUCUAUCAGCAGGGAAGAUAGUGA